UCCGGUUGAUCCUGCCGGACCUGACUGCUAUUGGGGUAAGGCUAAGCCAUGGGAGCCGAACGCCCUAUCACUAUAGGGCGUGACGCACGGCUGAGUAACACGUAGCUAACCUACCCUCGGGACUGGGAUAACUCCGGGAAACUGGAGCUAAACCCGGAUAGGUGAGGAGUCCUGGAAUGGUUCCUCACUUAAAGAGAUCUUAGGGGGUUACUGCCUAAGGUCUGCCCGAGGAUGGGGCUACGGCCCAUCAUGGUAGUUGGCGGGGUAAUGGCCCGCCAAGCCUACGACGGGUAGGGGCCCUGGGAGGGGGAGCCCCCAGAUGGACCCUGAGACAAGGGUCCAGGCCCUACGGGGCGCACCAGGCGCGAAACCUCUGCAAUGCGGGAAACCGUGACAGGGUUACCCCAAGUGCUCCCGUUAAGGGAGCUUUUCCUCGCUGUAAGGGGGCGAGGGAAUAAGCGGGGGGCAAGACUGGUGUCAGCCGCCGCGGUAAUACCAGCCCCGCGAGUGGUCAGGACGAUUACUGGGCCUAAAGCGCCCGUAGCCGGUCUAGCAAGUCCUCUCUGAAAGCUCCGGGCCUAACCCGGAGAGUGGAGAGGAUACUGCUAGGCUAGGGGGCGGGAAAGGCCGGGGGUACUCCUAGGGUAGGGGCGAAAUCCGAUAAUCCUAGGAGGACCACCAGUGGCGAAGGCGCCCGGCUGGAACGCGCCCGACGGUGAGGGGCGAAAGCUGGGGGAGCGAACCGGAUUAGAUACCCGGGUAGUCCCAGCUGUAAACGAUGCAGGCUAGGUGUUAGAUGGGCGUUAGUGCCCAUCUAGUGCCGCAGGGAAGCCGUUAAGCCUGCCGCCUGGGGAGUACGGCCGCAAGGCUGAAACUUAAAGGAAUUGGCGGGGGGGCACACAAGGGGUGGAGCCUGCGGCUCAAUUGGAGUCAACGCCGGG
rnacentral:rRNA from 1 species